UACGUAGGGGGCAAGCGUUGUCCGGAAUCAUUGGGCGUAAAGAGCGUGUAGGCGGCCCGAUAAGUCCGCUGUGAAAGUCCAGGGCUCAACCCUGGAAUGCCGGUGGAUACUGUCGGGCUCGAGUCCGGAAGAGGUGAGUGGAAUUCCUGGUGUAGCGGUGAAAUGCGCAGAUAUCAGGAGGAACACCCAUAGCGAAGGCAGCUCGCUGGGACGGUACUGACGCUGAGGCGCGAAAGCGUGGGGAGCGAACAGG
rnacentral:rRNA from 1 species